AUGAGCAUCACGUUAGCAAAGGAAGGAGAGCCAAGCACGAAACACGGCACCGCAGAAAACAAUUUUUCGGCGAAAGAAAAUGAGGAGAGAAUAAAUGUCCCGGCACUUCUUCACCUGUUCAUGAUCAACCAGAUAACCAGGAUGUGGUGCCUUUUGAAACAUCUUCUCCUUCAACAUCAUGUACGACACGGGGCCAUCCACAUGGUUUGCUGUCACACCUGGAUGCACAGCUGGAGUCACUUCCUCUUCAUCAGUGGAGGAACUUUAAUCCUGUGUUAGUAGGAAUUCUGUGGUUAGAUCUUUUUUGCAUUGGUGAACUGGGUUAAUCUAACUUGUUUUAGAUGGGAUAUUUGGUAGGGUUUUUUCUUUUUUUUACAUCAGAAGGGGUUUGUUAUUUUGACCUUGGAGACCCUGGAGUACUUAUGGUGUCUUGAAGCCCAAUGACUGUGUUGAAUCUUUGCAGCCAAUUGCUUCGUCAGAAGGCAGACUACACAAAGCCUGAUAUCUGAUAUUUAUCUAUACCAGGGGUAGGCAACCUUUCUGAUGAUGAGUGCCAUCUAAAGUUUCCUCAGAAGUCAAUGUGCCAUAUAAUUGCAUUGGCAAUAAAUUUAAUAAUGCUCUAUAUGAACAGUUACACACUAUAUAGAACAACUUUAUAGAAUUAUAUUUGUUCGCAGAUGUUGGCAGCUAUCAGUGAAACGUUAUCAGCUAUUUUAAAACAAAAAAAGACUUUUUAUCCAUAACAAGAACUCCAUAACAGCAAAUGAACUGUACAACAGAAAAUGCAAAUGCUAUUUAUGGUCUCCUCACAACAAUGAUAAGAAAAAUAAACUGUACAAUAUGGCAUGUUUGUUAAUACAGGGACACACAUGUUAAUGUGAUCUCUGGUCUCCCACUCAGAGACACAGGUCUCCGAGUGUCCAGCAUUCAGACAGCUACCUGAGGAUACUCAUGUGAGAGAAAAUCUGCUCACACAG
rnacentral:lncRNA from 1 species